CCUACGGGAGGCAGCAGUGGGGAAUAUUGCACAAUGGGGGAAACCCUGAUGCAGCAACGCCGCGUGAGUGAAGAAGUAUUUCGGAUUGUAAAGCUCUGUUAGCAGGGAAGAAGAUGACGGUUACUGAGUGAGAAACCCCGGCUAAAUACGUGCCAGCAGCCGCGGUAAUACGUAGGGGGGAAGCGUUAUUCGGAUUUACUGGGGGUAAAGGGAGCGUAGGCGGUUAGACAAGUCUGAAGUGAAAGCCUGAGGCUCAACCUCGGGACUGCAUUUGAAACUGGUUGACUAGAGUGCUGGAGAGGUAAGCGGAAUUCCUAGUGUAGCGGUGAAAUGCGUAGAUAUUAGGAAGAACACCAGUGGCGAAGGCGGCUUACUGGACUGUAACUGACGCUGAGGCUCGAAAGCGUGGGGAGCAAACAGGAUUAGAUACCCUAGUAGUC
rnacentral:rRNA from 1 species